rnacentral:rRNA from 1 species
AUUGAACGCUGGCGGCAGGCCUAACACAUGCAAGUCGAGCGGAUGAAGGGAGCUUGCUCCUGGAUUCAGCGGCGGACGGGUGAGUAAUGCCUAGGAAUCUGCCUGGUAGUGGGGGAUAACGUCCGGAAGCGGGCGCUAAUACCGCAUACGUCCUGAGGGAGAAAGUGGGGGAUCUUCGGACCUCACGCUAUCAGAUGAGCCUAGGUCGGAUUAGCUAGUUGGUGGGGUAAAGGCCUACCAAGGCGACGAUCCGUAACUGGUCUGAGAGGAUGAUCAGUCACACUGGAACUGAGACACGGUCCAGACUCCUACGGGAGGCAGCAGUGGGGAAUAUUGGACAAUGGGCGAAAGCCUGAUCCAGCCAUGCCGCGUGUGUGAAGAAGGUCUUCGGAUUGUAAAGCACUUUAAGUUGGGAGGAAGCGCAGUAAGUUAAUACCUUGCUGUUUUGACGUUACCAACAGAAUAAGCACCGGCUAACUUCGUG